AGCUUUGCGCAGUGGCGAUAUCGUAACCGAUGAGGUUUAACCGAGGUGCGAUUAUUGCUAGUUGAAAACUUUAACCAAUACCCCGCCGUGUGGACAUGAAACACUGUCCGCGCAGGCAAUCUUUGAAGGCCCUAACGGGC